GAUGAACGCUGGCGGCGUGCCUAAUACAUGCAAGUCGAGCGAACGGACGAGAAGCUUGCUUCUCUGAUGUUAGCGGCGGACGGGUGAGUAACACGUGGAUAACCUACCUAUAAGACUGGGAUAACUUCGGGAAACCGGAGCUAAUACCGGAUAAUAUUUUGAACCGCAUGGUUCAAAAGUGAAAGACGGUCUUGCUGUCACUUAUAGAUGGAUCCGCGCUGCAUUAGCUAGUUGGUAAGGUAACGGCUUACCAAGGCAACGAUGCAUAGCCGACAUGAGAGGGUGAUCGGCCACACUGGAACUGAAAGACGGUCCAGACUCCUACGGGAGGCAGCAGUAGGGAAUCUUCCGCAAUGGGCGAAAGCCUGACGGAGCAACGCCGCGUGAGUGAUGAAGGUCUUCGGAUCGUAAAACUCUGUUAUUAGGGAAGAACAUAUGUGUAAGUAACUGUGCACAUCUUGACGGUACCUAAGCAGAAAGCCACGGCUAACAACGGG
rnacentral:rRNA from 1 species